AUCCUCUUAUUGGUUCAUAAGCAUGAUAGCUGGGUGUUCACACCCUUGGGUGACACAUGCCUCCCACGAACCUUGUUAUAGUCAGCACAUUCCCUGUCUGAUG